rnacentral:rRNA from 1 species
AGUGAACGCUGGCGGUAGGCCUAACACAUGCAAGUCGAACGGCAGCACAGGAGAGCUUGCUCUCUGGGUGGCGAGUGGCGGACGGGUGAGGAAUACAUCGGAAUCUACUUUUUCGUGGGGGAUAACGUAGGGAAACUUACGCUAAUACCGCAUACGACCUACGGGUGAAAGCAGGGGACCUUCGGACCUUGCGCGAUUGAAUGAGCCGAUGUCGGAUUAGCUAGUUGGCGGGGUAAAGGCCCACCAAGGCGACGAUCCGUAGCUGGUCUGAGAGGAUGAUCAGCCACACUGGAACUGAGACACGGUCCGGACUCCUACGGGAGGCAGCAGUGGGGAAUAUUGGACAAUGGGCGCAAGCCUGAUCCAGCCAUACCGCGUGGGUGAAGAAGGCCUUCGGGUUGUAAAGCCCUUUUGUUGGGAAAGAAAUCCAGCUGGUUAAUACCCGGUUGGGAUGACGGUACCCAAAGAAUAAGCACCGGCUAACUUCGUGCCAGCCGCCGCAGUAA